rnacentral:rRNA from 1 species
UACGUAGGUGGCUAGCGUUGUCCGGAUUUACUGGGCGUAAAGAGCGCGCAGGCGGUGGUUCAAGUCGAGUGUGAAAGCCCCCGGCUCAACUGGGGAGGGUCACUCGAUACUGGUCGACUUGAAGGCAGGAGAGGGAAGCGGAAUUCCCGGUGUAGUGGUGAAAUGCGUAGAUAUCAGGAGGAACACCGGUGGCGAAGGCGGGUCGCUGGUCCGGUACUGACGCUGAGGUGCGAAAGCGUGGGGAGCAAACAGG